CUCAGGAUGAACGCUAGCGGCAGGCCUAACACAUGCAAGUCGAGGGGUAACAGGGAGUGCUUGCACUCAGCUGACGACCGGCGCACGGGUGCGUAACGCGUAUGCAAUCUACCUCUUACUGAGGGAUAGCCCAUGGAAACGUGGAUUAAUACCUCAUAGUAUUAUAGACUGGCCUCAGUUUAUGAUUAAAGGUUACGGUAAGAGAUGAGCAUGCGUCCUAUUAGCUAGAUGGUAAGGUAACGGCUUACCAUGGCUACGAUAGGUAGGGGUCCUGAGAGGGAGAUCCCCCACACUGGUACUGAGACACGGACCAGACUCCUACGGGAGGCAGCAGUGAGGAAUAUUGGACAAUGGGCGAGAGCCUGAUCCAGCCAUGCCGCGUGCAGGAAGACGGCCCUAUGGGUUGUAAACUGCUUUUACAGAGGAAGAACCCUCCUUACGUGUAAGGAGCUGACGGUACUCUAUGAAUAAGGAUCGGCUAACUCCGUGCCAGCAGCCGCGGUAAUACGGAGGAUCCAAGCGUUAUCCGGAAUCAUUGGGUUUAAAGGGUCCGUAGGCGGGUCUAUAAGUCAGUGGUGAAAGUCUGCAGCUUAACUGUAGAACUGCCAUUGAUACUGUAGACCUUGAAUUAGUAUGAAGUGGUUAGAAUGUGUAGUGUAGCGGUGAAAUGCAUAGAUAUUACACAGAAUACCGAUUGCGAAGGCAGAUCACUAAUACUAUAUUGACGCUGAUGGACGAAAGCGUAGGUAGCGAACAGGAUUAGAUACCCUGGUAGUCU
rnacentral:rRNA from 1 species